UACGUAGGUGGCAAGCGUUGUCCGGAAUUACUGGGCGUAAAGGGCGUGUAGGCGGCUAUUUAAGUCAGGCGUGAAAUGCAUGGGCUUAACCCAUGAAUUGCGUUUGAAACUGGAGGGCUUGAGGAUCGGAGAGGGCAGUGGAAUUCCCAGUGUAGCGGUGAAAUGCGUAGAUAUUGGGAGGAACACCAGUGGCGAAGGCGACUGCCUGGACGACACCUGACGCUGAGGCGCGAAAGCUAGGGGAGCAAACGGG
rnacentral:rRNA from 1 species